rnacentral:rRNA from 1 species
AAACUUAAGCAUAUCAAUAAGCGGAGGAAAAGAAACCAACAGGGAUUACCUCAGUAACGGCGAGUGAAGCGGUAACAGCUCAAAUUUGAAAUCUGGCCCUUGUGGGGCCCGAGUUGUAAUUUGGAGAAGAUGCUUUGGGUGCGGCCCGGGUCUAAGUUCCUUGGAACAGGGCGUCAGAGAGGGUGAGAAUCCCGUAUGUGAUUGGGUGCCCGCGCCUAUGUAAAGCUCUUUCGACGAGUCGAGUUGUUUGGGAAUGCAGCUCAAAAUGGGUGGUAUAUUUCAUCUAAAGCUAAAUAUGAGCCAGAGACCGAUAGCGCACAAGUAGAGUGAUCGAAAGAUGAAAAGCACUUUGGAAAGAGAGUUAAACAGUACGUGAAAUUGUUGAAAGGGAAGCGCUUGCAACCAGACUUGCGUGCGGCCCGUCACCUGGUGCUCGCACCGGGGCACUGGGUCGCGCGCAGGCCAGCAUCGGUUUGGGUGGUUGGAGAAAGGCCGGGAGAACGUGGCUCCCCUCGGGGAGUGUUACAGCUCCCGGCGCCAUGCAGCCUACCCAGACCGAGGACCGCGCUCCGGCUAGGAUGCUGGCGUAAUGGUUGUAAGCGACCCGUCUUGAAACACGGACCAAGGAGUCUAACAUCUAUGCGAGUGUUUGGGUGACAAACCCAUGCGCGGAAUUAACGUGAAUGGAGGUGAGAACCCUUCAGGGUGCAUCAUCGACCGAUCCUGAUGUCUUCGGAUGGAUUUGAGUAAGAGCAUAGCUGUUGGGACCCGAAAGAUGGUGAACUAUGCCUAAAUAGGGUGAAGCCAGAGGAAACUCUGGUGGAGGCUCGCAGCGGUUCUGACGUGCAAAUCGAUCGUCAAAUUUGGGUAUAGGGGCGAAAGACUAAUCGAACCAUCUAGUAGCUGGUUCCUGCCGAAGUUUCCCUCAGGAAC